rnacentral:siRNA from 1 species
GAUAAAAUAACUUAGGGCCGGUUC